GGCGAACGGGUGAGUAACACGUGGGUGAUCUACCUCUGAGUGGGGGAUAACGUUCCGAAAGGAGCGCUAAUACCGCAUGACGUCCUGGGUUUGAAGACCUGGAAACCAAAGUCGGGGACCGCAAGGCCUGACGCUUGGAGAGGAGCCCGCGCCUGAUUAGCUAGUUGGUGGGGUAAUGGCCUACCAAGGCGACGAUCAGUAGCCGGCCUGAGAGGGCGGACGGCCACACUGGGACUGAGACACGGCCCAGACUCCUACGGGAGGCAGCAGUGGGGAAUUGUUCGCAAUGGGCGCAAGCCUGACGACGCAACGCCGCGUGGAGGAUGAAGGUCUUCGGAUUGUAAACUCCUGUUGAUCGGGAAGAAUGGACUCCGGCUAAAUACUCCGGAGUAGUGACGGUACCGAUUGAGGAAGCCACGGCUAACUCUGUGCCAGCAGCCGCGGUAAUACAGAGGUGGCAAGCGUUGUUCGGAAUUACUGGGCGUAAAGGGCGCGUAGGCGGUCGCCUAAGUCGGACGUGAAAUCCCCAAGCUUAACUUGGGAACUGCGUCCGAUACUGGGUGACUUGAGUUCGGGAGAGGAAUGUGGAAUUCCAGGUGUAGCGGUGAAAUGCGUAGAUAUCUGGAGGAACACCGGUGGCGAAGGCGGCAUUCUGGACCGAAACUGACGCUGAGGCGCGAAAGCCAGGGGAGCAAACGGGAUUAGAUACCCCGGUAGUCC
rnacentral:rRNA from 1 species